CCAGCUGCAUAUAGUGAACUGCACAGGACUGGGGGAAGAAAAGGUAAAAGCGUCGGUAGCCACCUUUCGAUCAGUGCGCUGCAAGUCCGCAGACGGACACCAACCGCAGUGAAAACAGGCGUUUGCAUUGUGAAUCCAGCCAUGGACUGCAAUGUCCUUAGAUCGCGUUCUGCUUUUGCAUUUUAUGGUCCAGACUACUUGCCCCUCGUGUUGGAUUGCAGCUGGUGCCUUGAGUUUACCUAUAUCAGGUACAGUAUGACUUGCAUAACUUACUCUUUCCUUUAUCAUAGCACUACUUCUUGUGUAAACAGAUGUCAAGAUGGUGUUUAAGACUUGACACUGUUUGUUGUUUGCAUUAUUUUGCACUUCUAAAGUUGCUGUCACUUGUUUUCUGUUAAAGAGGCAAGUGCCCUAACUACCUUCAAACUGGCAGCUCUUAAUACUCCUGGAGCUCAGCUGGCCUUCUGCACCUUCCUCAUUACUAUCAUAUCUAUCUACAUGUGGUGAAUAGCUUAUAUGACAGAGCCUGUUCAAUUCAGAAAGCUGUUAAAGCUCAACAGGUAUAAUCAGUGGCACAGGAGUGAAAUCAUUCCAAUGAAGUUAAAGAUAUGACCAAUACUGGAAACUUCAAACAGCUCUUCAAGCUUAAAGAGGGAGGACCCACCACAGCAAGCCUUUCUGUAGGCCCCCUUCAACUCUUCAAGUCUUCUUCACUACUUCUUCUUCUAUAGUCUUAUUCAAUUGACACCAGCUCUUUUCUCUCUUGUAUAUGUUUUGCAUUGAAGUCAAUACAGUAAAAAAAGAGAAGUUGGUGUCCUGUUUUCCUUGCUUUUUGUGCCUUACAACAGGUUACAGGAACACCCAGUCAUGAGGAGGAUAAGGUUCUGCACAAGGACAAACCUAUGAGGUGGCACUGUGGCUUUCCAAAUAAAGUUCUGUGAUACACUUAGACUCUUAAUUGCUUGCAGUCAGUGCAUUACAGAACUUUGUUUUGGGAGUUAAUACUUUAACCUGUGGGAAAUAAAGCCUCAAACAUAUGGAAAGUUUAAGUUUACAACAUGGUGCGAUAUUCCUCUUGAUACCUCUUGAUAAGUGACUGUUUUCUUGAAUAAAAUGUAUCUCUGUUUGAA